rnacentral:rRNA from 1 species
CCUACGGGUGGCAGCAGUGAGGAAUAUUGGUCAAUGGACGCAAGUCUGAACCAGCCAUGCCGCGUGCAGGAAGACGGCUCUAUGAGUUGUAAACUGCUUUUGUACGGGGGUAAAUCCCGCUACGUGUAUCGGUUUGAAUGUAUCGUACGAAUAAGGAUCUGCUAACUCCGUGCCAGCAGCCGCGGUAAUACGGAGGAUUCAAGCGUUAUCCGGAUUUGUUGGGUUUAAAGGGUGCGUAGGCGGUUCGAAAGUUAGAGGUGAAAUCCCGGGGCUGAACUCCGGCACGGACGUUGAUACUGUCGGGCUAGAGUGUAGUUGCGGUAGGCGGAAUGUAUGGUGGAGCGGUGAAAUGCAUAGAGACCAUACAGAACACCGAUUGCGAAGGCAGCUUACCAAACUACGACUGACGUUGAGGCUCGAAAGCAUGGGUAGCGAACAGGAUUAGAUACCCCAGUAGUC